GUAAGGAAUAUUGGACAAUGGACGCAAGUCUGAUCCAGCCAUGUCGCGUGAAGGAUUAAGGUCCUCUGGAUUGUAAACUUCUUUUAUAAGGGACGAAAAAAGGCUUUUCUAAGUCGUCUGACGGUACCUUAUGAAUAAGCACCGGCUAACUCCGUGCCAGCAGCCGCGGUAAUACGGAGGGUGCAAGCGUUAUCCGGAUUCACUGGGUUUAAAGGGUGCGUAGGCGGGCAGGUAAGUCAGUGGUGAAAUCCUAGAGCUUAACUCUAGAACUGCCAUUGAUACUAUCUGUCUUGAAUAUUGUGGAGGUAAGCGGAAUAUGUCAUGUAGCGGUGAAAUGCUUAGAUAUGACAUAGAACACCUAUUGCGAAGGCAGCUUACUACGCAUAUAUUGACGCUGAGGCACGAAAGCGUGGGGAUCAAACAGGAUUAGAAACCCGAGUAGUCC
rnacentral:rRNA from 1 species